AUAGAAGGGUGUUACAAACUCAAAGUGUACAACCAGUAGACAUGUUCCCACACACUCCCCACAUCGAGUGUGUGUGCCUACUGGAGCUCUGUUGAUGGUGUUUUCUCAACUGCAAAACUACAAAGAUCUCUCGCAGCAAAUGUGGAUGUAGGAUGCUGGCCCAGAGAAUUCUUCACUUUAAUCGGUACCGCUGAUGUAAUUGGUUUGGGAGGAGAGAUGGUCAAUGAAGAACCUGAUGUCAUCAUAUGACACCACAAAUGGGGAGCCGCUGUUUUCCUUCUAAAGGCUUUAGAAAGGCAUCCUUUUUCCGCCAUCUUAAAUUUGGCGCUGCCUAUUAUAGAGAGAGCGAUGCAGAGAAUCCUGCAAAGUACGUGUCAAGACUGGAAUGCUAUGAUUUACAGAUCAGCGAGCCACCUCCGUUGCAUAUGGAUUCCAUUUUUAUCACCGGUGUGCUGGAUUUUCUUCUACAGUAUGCUUCUCUGACCAGGAUAAGGAGAUAUACGGACGUAACAAGUUUUCAGAGAUCUACAUGGAAACAACAGCAACCACCUUAGGAUUGCUUAAGUUAAAGAAGAUUGUUACUAAUUUGGCAAUUUAUUAAUACCUUCGCUCUAGUAUUCCCCUGGAAUUAAGCAUCCAUUUUGAACCUUCUUGGGGAACAUUAUAAGCCCACUUUUGAUCUGUCGAUUCUCAAGAAUCUUUUAAUAAGAAUGUUCUGUUCUAUAUCCUUAUUCA